GGCUUCUUGCAAAGAAUCCUGGGAACUGUAGCUUUGUGAUGGGGAAACUACAGAUCCCAGGAUUCUUUGGGGGAAGCC